CAUCAACUAGUCUAUCGUAAUUUAAAAACUGAUUCAUUCGACUUAUGAUCAACACUGUGUGAGAUAGAAAGGGAGAAAUUUCAUUUUCGACGAGAAAGUGCGAACAUUAUUCCGUAGGAGAUUGAUCUGACUACGUUCAAGGAAAACAGUAUACGCUUUGCCGGUGUGGUCAAUGAAACGCGAAAUGUGCUAAUUUCACUUUUUUCUACUACUAUUUCUCAUGUAUAAUAUUAUGAACGUUUAAUGAUGCUUUGAUUUGUUUCUUUCUUAUUGGUUGAUUAGUUAGUACUUGAAUUUGAUAACUUUCUAUAGUGGACUCAAGUUAGUAGACGAUUUUCUGAUGUUCUAAUGUUUUUUGAACUAUCCUAACCUUAAAUAUUAUGAGCCAAAUGUUAAUCUUCAUUUCAAUUGUACUUUAAAGCUUACUUUGCAGUAUUUGAAAAUGAAAUCUUUUUAUCUUUAGGUUAAUACAAGGACUAUCACGAUUAAUUCAAUUAUUUAUUAUUAAUUCAAUUGUAAUAACUUACUUUGGAGUAUUUGAAAAUGAAAUCUUUUUAUCUUUAGGUUAAUACAAAGACUAUCACGAUUAAUUCAAUUAUUUAUUCAAUUGUAAUAGUUUACUUUGCAGUAUUUGAAAAUGAAAUCUUUUUAUUUUUAGGUUAAUACAAAGACUAUCACGAUUAAUUCAAUUAUUUAUUAUUAAUUCAAUUGUAAUAACUUACUUUGCAGUAUUUGAAAAUGAAAUCUUUUUAUCUUUAGACUAUCACGAUUAAUUCAAUUAUUUAUUCAAUUGUAAUAGUUUACUUCGCAGUAUUUGAAAAUGAAAUCUUUUUAUCUUUAGGUUAAUACAAAGACUAUCACGAUUAAUUCAAUUAUUUAUUAUUAAUUCAAUUGUAAUAGCUUACUUUGCAGUAUUUGAAAAUGAAAUCUUUUUAUCUUUAGGUUAAUACAAAGACUAUCACGAUUAAUUCAAUUAACAUUGAUUCAUAUAUUUUAGUAAGAUUAUAACACAGUAUCCAGAUAGUUAUGAGCAGAGAUAUAAUUUCAACCAGAAGAGUCUUAAACCAAUGGACCACCAAUAAGUAUUAAAAAAUACUCGCUUAUUACCAAAACUGUACAAAAAUUUGUUAUCCAAUUUGAAUUCGUAUGUAUAUCCUUUGCCAGUAAAACAACAAAAUGUAAACACGAAACCUUUCACACCAAUCAACAUAACACGGAACACCUUUCAGCCACUCUCCACGCACUCUUCUGAAGAAUAUAACCAGCUCGCCAAAAAACAAGAUCACUAAAACGACACCCGUAUCACAAGCAGGCUACCGACCAAAAAACUUUCCCUCGAACAGGCCAAUCGGCAAAACGAGAUCAACUCACUCUGCAGAGGCGGCGACAUCAUAACCCGAAUGCAAGGAGCCACAAUCAGUUCCUCGGGUUGGCACGCGCUGUUGGAACACCAAGAGAUUCUCCAGGAUACGACAAGGACGCGUCGAAGGGACAGGGACAACGGAGAAAGCGAGCGUCGUAAGGAAGGAAGGAGGAAAGAUAGUAGGCAACGAAGAGGAAAAGAAGAGACAAAGAUGCAGCUAGGAAGGAGCAACAGAGAGAGCUAAACCAAGAGGGAGAGGGAAAGAGCGUACAAUGUGCAGAAUGGGAAGAGAGCAAGAGAAAGGAGAGGGAGAGGCAAUCUCACUCUCAGUGACACGUAAACUGGACUGCAGAAGCAAACAUAGCCUCGUCGUUGGCGAUGUCCCGCAGGCUCACUGCAAGUGGUUGCAAAUGUUCGUCGUAAUGACGCUGCCGUUUUUCUGGAGUAUAUCCACUUGAUGCCCUCGCCUUGCCCAAGAAACACGGUAAUGGUUCUUGGCUGAUCGUUAACCGACUGGUUCACUUGGAAAUGCGAUGUUAAUUGGUUAUUAAUCGACCAUUAACCAGAUGGCCUCGAUAAAACCGGAACAUUUUGCUUCGUAUAUCGGCAAACUAUUCUAUUGAAUCUUUUAUUGCAUCGAACAGACGCAUACGUACGAAUUCAUUAACGUGAGAUGGUGUAAAAUUACUGGUUAAUUAUAAAUUGCUCAUUAAUCGAUAAGAAAUACCGAAAACAGGAUACAGCAGUUCUUUUGUUCCUACGUUUCUCUCGAAUCUAUAUAUAAAUUUAUAUUUUACAUAUUUAUCUAAAUUAUUUACAGACUCUUAUCACAGGUUAAUUAAUCAUCCAACAACACGUGAUGGAUUUCAGAUUUACAUAUCAUCAUCGUGAAUCUUAAGUUCAAACUCGUUCGCAUUCGAGUAUCAGACUGCUACCAAAUUAAUUGAUAUUCAAUUAGGUCCCGGGAGUCUUUUUACAGGGAAGUUUUAAACUUAAUGGGAAUCCGUUGCCCGAACACAUGCUCCAAAUUCCCAAGUAAAGUGGCCAAAAAGCGCGAUUUUAAUUAACACUUCAUUAGCCAAAUUGGUAAAGCAUAAUCAGUUUCAGCAAAUUUUUAAUUCACCAAGAAACGAUGCAGUACGUAUCUUAUAUGUCGAAACUAAUUAUUCAAAACGGUGUUCCUAAUUAAAAGUUAAUUAAUCAAUUAGUAGAAAACGAUUCUCUGUAUCAGAAGACACUGAAUACAUUGGAACGAAUCCUGAUCCAUUUCUGAACGUUACAUUGGGCAAAGAGAUCUGGAAUAGGCAUUCUUACGUAAUCCAAGUGGAACGAGUCCUUUUCCGGACUCGAUUCUCGGAUCGUCCCUAAUGAUACGGACUAUCCGCCGCCAAUGAGACAUAAAUCGCUUAAUCAUCGUUACCGUACUCUCCAACAUUCCACCGUUUCUCGUUUCACUCAGUCGUAAGCAUGGAUUAGCAGAAACCUCUAGUCUCCUUUCUGCUUAUUUUACCGCGAUACACAUGAAUGAUUUUUCAGGGCGAUUCCAGGAGUAUAGGUUCGUGAUAAUAACGCUAGCUAUGAAUCAUGCUCGGCUCAGUCAAGUCACAACUUCUCCGUUUAUUUCUCUGACAAAUAUCCGUUUAACAUGCUGUUUGCCGAUACAUGGAGAAAUGUAGAAAAGGAAUUUAAGAUUAUGGAGGAGGAUGUGAAAGAGUAACAUCUAUUCUGUAGGAAAAUUGUCCAAAGAUUAGAGAAAGGUGUAAUCGUGAAUAUUCGCGGCUACUCGGUUAUCCCCACCUUCUGCGUUAUCAUGAGAGGAUCACAGUGCGUUUUGACGCUCAGCCAAUAAGCAUAGAGUUUUUGUCCCCUCUACUUUACAUUUAUUCUUACUGGCUAUAAAGUGGGAACUGUAUAAUACGUUUUUAAAUAAUUUACCUCUUCUUCAAAAGCAAUCUUUGCAUUUUGUUAUUAAUUGAUUUUUUGUUUCUGGCAAAAUGAACUGGGAGGAGAAAUUUCUGUUUAUUGGUCAUCAAUUAGGCAGAUCCGCAACUUAUAGUUGGAGUUCCUUAUUUAUGAUGGCACGCUGUCUGUUCCGUUUGACUUGAGGUUAAAAUAGAUGCAUAAACAUAAAGCUGCAUCUGGAACGAACUGUUAAUACCCAGUAGCAUUUGCUCACGCUGCUUCUCUUUGAUUUCACAUCAUGCAUACGUAAGAAGUCGCAACGAUGUCUGGAUAACGACUGAGUAACACGACUAAUCUUCGGCAGUGGUUUUUAGCAUUUAACAUGAACAACUUGUGCAUUCUAAUGCCUAGAAGAACGAGCGAACCGAGAGAAAAACCUUUCAUUUGCAAAUGUCCAUAAAUCAAUUUUCUUCAUUAAUAAGUAUUCUCAUCAAUCUUUAUUUGAUAUCUUUCCCUCGCUAAAAAUAAUGUUUUACAAAUUGCAAAAAAUAUAUUUAAUACGUAAUUAUCUCGUACGAUUUAUAAAAGCUCAUAUAGCCAUUAAAUGUUAUUAUAUAUCUGUCUGGCCAUAAUUACAGAUAUUUCGCUAGUACUAGUGAUUACAGUCGAUCUUAUAUUCGAAAAUUCGAAGUUAGCGCUUUUAACGUCUCCAUAACCUCACUCGCUUAACAUAACCGCAACCAUAGCGUGCAAAUUUCAUUUCCUCCUUACUUUUUACUUUACCGUUGAGGUCGACUACGAUUCAGCGAGAUUCUUUCCUCCACAGAACUUACCAUAAGGCUAUAUGCCACUAAUUAUCUUUACUGUAUGAAAAAUCAAAGAUAUUUUAGCAGAAAUAUCGAUGGUGGUUUGCAAACGAUUCAGUACAUGAUAAGUUGCUAUGGAGAUACUGACUCGAUUCUCGUUCGUCGAAGAGCCGAUUAAAAGGGUGGAUCGAAAUUGACGGCUUAAUUUAAUUCAGAGGGCAGGCAUACAACGUUGCAACAUCUCUUUUUGGUUCAGCCAGGACAUUCGCUUCCGAGAAUGCCAUGGAGAAAUGUCUUCAUCGAGCUGCUUAGUGGCAACUGCCACAUCACAGUUUUUGCUGCUGUUCCCUUUCAAGCUUUUUAUCGUUCAUGGAAUUGACGAACAUUUCUGGUUCACAGUAUGAUUCUAAACGAGACGAAGAUUCGAUCUAAAAUCAUGGCUUUAAUUAAUCACCAUGUUCGGUAAUUGAGAAAUAGAACGACUGGUCCAAUAUUUAUAACGUUUGUUUGUAUUAGUGAAGUAGUACGGCUCAUUCUAUUUCAAGGGAUUCAGCAAAAACAGCUACCUCGCCACCAGGGUUUCAAUCAAAGCUGUACUUCGUCUUCCUUCAAUCAUUCCAAGCAUUUCCUUCAUUUGAAAAGGAUGAAGGUUUCCUCAAUCAAUUUUUUGCCGUUAUGGAUUACCCUUUUUCUAUCGGUCCAGAGGUUUAGACGUCAAUGGUCCGCUAGUUCAAGGUAGAUUGAAAAUUCUGUUAGACAAUUGAAACGUGCAUCUCUGUAAUUGAAUCUUUUUACUCGAAGACUCGAAUAGAUAACUUACAGCAUAAAUUUAGUGGUCUAGUUCUUUCAUUCCUAGUUCAUUAAUUUCAUCUCAAUGAUCUACUAUUCAGAAAGCGUUCAUCUCUAUAUCCCAUCAAACGAAAUGGUGACUGUAUCAUUACUUUAACAGCAGGACAUAUUUCUAACGUCUAAAGUAACAGGAUCGCUUCUGACACUCUACUAAAACAGGUGGCACACGAUUGUCUGAGAGAAACCUGGUUGGUUAUGCGCACAUGCGCAUGCGCAUACGCGCGCGAGAACACCGUGUAGUAACCGGUACAAGGCACACCAUGUACCGGAAUUAUUAACUGUUAUGCAGAUGAAUCUCUUAUGCUUCUUCCACGCAUAACACCGAGUGCUCGAACUUUUCAACCUCCGCGCCGAAGGCGUUCACUCUAUCCGACCGAGAUCCUCCAUCAUCGACAACGUUGAUCUGAGUACCGCUGCCGUUCUAGCUUUAUACGGUAGCCGCGACUGCUCUCCGCGUUAACGAGCUGCGAAUGCGUGCGUGUCACGAGCUGGGAGGAGAGCAAUUUGCAAUUCUUCUGCUUCUUUUAUCUUGGAUUUUCCGUGAUUCUAUAUAUCAACGAAGGAUCUCUCGUAACUAUAAAAUAUGGAUUACUCUUUUAUAUAGAAAUUUAAGUCUAAGAUCGAGGGAGUCUUUACUUCCUUAUCCCGGAUUUUCUGAGACUUGAAGAAUCAAAGGAAAGUUCUCCUGAUUUUUUAUAAUAUUAUAAAUUAUUUUUAUUGAGAGGGUUUCAAAAUUUUAUUAGGGGAUUGACAACAUUUUUAAGGGGUAUAUGGAAACUUUUUUUUGCUUUCAACUGAUUAGAAUUUAAAUUUUAAUUUAGAUCUAGAUAUUUUAUACCUUUACGUUAAGAAGGCAGAGUUAAUGAUGGUUUUUGAAUUUCUAGGUUACCGUGACAGCGGGACUUUCCCACAAUUUCUCGACUUUUCCAGCUACUUUCAGUUUUAUUUAAACAUACUACAUUUCUCAUGGGCUUUUACUUUCGGUUUUACUGGUUUUAUACUGGAUUCCAGUGUCGAACUAUUGAGAUAGGCAUUAAUGGACAGCGCAUUAAUCGUCCAGACUUCACUAAACAUAAAUCACACAAAUACUUAAACGUUAUCUUCGCGACGACUACUCAUUGUUAUUCCCAAUUCUACCUUAUAUAUUCACAAAUUUCAUUCUGUGAGAUUUGUACAAGCUUAUUUACAUACGUUAGAACCACUUUGUAAUGCUCUGAUGACCAUUGUUCAACGAAUGAAUCAAAAGCCUACAGUAAACACUACGUGUAGAAUACAUAGCGUAUCAUAUUUGAAGCGCACUUCCUGGAUUCUCAGAAUAACAGGGUAGGUGACAAUUAUACGUGCAUACAUAUAUGCACAUAUACUUUCCAAUUUCAACUUCAUUCCAACAAAUACAGUAAAAACAAAACAGUCCAUUGAUUCUACAAUUUUGUUCAAUAGUCAUUCGUUGUUAUUUUUAGCUAAACAUCUGGAAUGAAGUGAGAAAUACGUUAGUAAGGAAAUAAAAUCUAACCCAACGUUGACCUUUGAUUCGCCGAUUCCAACUGUUCAACGACUCCUCUCCACCUCUACACCUGUCGUCCAGUGAAACAGCUGGUGCAAGCCGAAUAUCCAGUGGUGUAUCACCGAACUUCGCUAUGAGGUGACCGGCCUACGUUUUCCUCCUUUUCCCGCGUUUAUAUUUAGCACGGUCGCCACCAGUUUACGACACGCGAGGAAUUUUUCGUCCUGGGGAACUGGUUUCUUUCCUUGGAUCUAACAAGCGUUGUGCAUUCGGUCUGAAAUGAUUCUUUAAUUUCAUUUGUUGAUUAUGCUUUGAUCCUUCAACAAUCUGAGCCAUAAGUAGCCAGGUUCAGAAUAGGUCACAAUGGUGUUUAAUUUGAAAUGUUUUCUUUGCUUUUGAUUAAUCAUACAUAUGUGUGUAUGUGAUUCGACUAUUUCUCUCUCUUUCUCUCUCUCUCUCUAUGUUUAUUUGUUUGUGUGAUUCGAUACAGUCGAGCUGUAAACAGAAAUGAAAGUGUUGAAGUGUAUGUUUAAGGUUAGGUUUAUAGCUGCAAAGAUACUGAAGAAAUAUUUAGUAGUGCAAUAUGAUUUCUUUCCUAUCUAAAUUUGGAGCUCAGAAAAUUCUAAAAAUUGUCGAUUCCUUUUGUUCAAACGUCUAGUUGUUGGAGAUUUAUUACGGUGACGAACAAUAUUGUUCGAUACAGGUAUUUCUUGUCCUAGACAGACCUGAGAUAAUAGUCUACUAUUACAGAAGAGGGCAGAUUCUUUCCGAAGAAUCAUUGUAGCCCUCGUACACCGGAAAUGCGUGAUCAACAAAUCGUUCGAGUCUGUUUACGGAAAGGAGAAGUCAAUGGAUGAUGGUUUUUAUACUACUCCGAGAUCAUUUUCUGUUCGAACGUCCGGUUUUUAGUACCGUGCAGUAUUGAGCUCGGGCAAAUUGACGGUAUAGAACAGUCGAGGAUUAAUCUCUCUCGAAAUUAUGAUUUUUCUACUUGUUAACGACUACGAUUCUUCAACAUGCGAGUUUGCGUUCCUAACCUGCACAUGUAACACCAUUAUUAUUGCAAGUUUUGUUUCGCAAUUGCGUCUGCAGAACUCAAAAAAUGCAUCGCUUGAACUUCAGAUUCUAAGUCAUGCGUUAAAUCAUUUUUCUUUUCACGAUAUUUUGAAUUAUUCAGUAAUACUUAUUAUACCUAAUGGAAAUAUCAAACAGAGUAGUUCUUAAUUAGAAUAAUUAGACAAAUUUUGGAAGAUUCAAAACUGACAAAAGGACUUAUUCUAACCUUAGUAUCAUAAAAAUGGGACUAGUAGUUGGCGCCUAAAGUAGGUGGAGUUGCGAACCGCCUUAAGCUACUAAAUAUUCCAUUCCGCCUAUAUUCUGUCCCAAAUUACCUAUCCAAUCACCAAUGCUGUCCUUGAAACAAUUUUCUAACCUAAAACUAAUCUAAGUUCAUCAUUCAUCAACUCUUAAAUUUUAUUUACCAUCUUACAUAUUUUAAACUACAAUAUUAUUGAAUCUUAUUUAACUUUCUUAACUGGUUUUAAUUUCCAUUUGCAUAUUAUCGUUAAGGCAGUUCCAUAAUAGUGUAAUUAUAGUAUAAUUCUUCUGUUUUAAUUCACGAAGAUUGUGAAGCCACGGUGAUGUGUGCGCGCACUUUCUUUCCCGCGCUUAUGCGAUCAGCCCUCCCCCGGUUCCCACGAGCAUUCUCCUGCUCAUUACGACUUCCCGAGGCAGAGGUGCACACGGAACCAAGUCGGUUUCUCGAAAGGAACACCGGUAACAACUCGACCCUCGACUGCUCCGUCAAUAGUAGCUGCUCGAAUGCGGCCUGUUUCAAUAUUUGUAAAUCCUGCCAUUCCCCCCCUGCCCCUGUUACGUCGACACUCGACAGUUCUCUGCUCGUCAGGAUACAAACAAGGCGAUUCGACUUCUUAACCGGGGAAACUUGUUCAGAAAGGAUGGAGAAGGUUAAUCUGGUCUUUAUUAAACAUUUUCUUUUUGUACUUCUAUAGUUGGACAGUGGAGAACUCCUUAUGGUUAACAAGAAUUUUUUAUAUCUUUCUUUUUGCAUUUGUUAUAGAUUCUCAAAUUAGGUUAUAUAAAUAAUAAAUCUGGCUUAAAUGUCCUUCUUUUAAAUUUCAGCUUAAAUAAUAUCUGGUAAUGUUGGGAAUUGAAGAUAUAGAAAGAAAUAAGUAUAUAUAUAAACAGUCAAAGCUAUUAUGUAGUAUAAAUUAAACAAAAUAUUUAACGAAAUUAAUUAAACAAAAUAAAACAAUUAUAUUCUCUAAAUUGAACUAAAACUGGCUAUCUUUUGUCAUAUAAGUAAUUACGAUUGAAAUUAUAAAGUUAUUAGAAAUAAAAAUAUAAUAUUAAAAUAUUGUCAACGACACAAACAUUUCAUGUACGGCAAUAGUCAACUAACACGAGGUUUCAGUUAUCCAAAGGUUUCAUAAGAGAAAGGAUACAGCGGAUAUUUAUCAUGAUCACCAUAAUUACAUCAAACCACUCCUAUCCGUAAUUGCCACGAAACUCCGUAUUAGAUAUAUGCAAUAAAUCCCCAUGAACGGUGAGCGUUCGUGAAUUUAUUAACUUCUUGUUGUCGACUUACAUAAACGAAACACGUUUUCAAUUUUAUUCAUCAAAUAUUUCUAAUAUUUCCUUGUCAUGUAUUUAUAGUACCAUAAAAUACAUUGACAUUUCGUUAUUAUUUAUUGAAUUCAAAGUGAUACAUAAUUGAUUGUUAAAAGCUGUCCAUAUUCUAGAUUUCAGAUCUUCAAAGAUGAUAGUAUGUAAAGUGUCUAAUUUAAUGCAUAUUACAUGAGCCUACGAUCAGAAUUUUAAUUAAGAUAGAACCUUUCUAAGACUAUUUUUAAAAAGGGAUACUUUCGCUCACAAGCUGUGAAUACUAUAAACUAUAUUAUAUACCCAAAUUCUUUCCAAUAUUCCUCUCUAAUUUAUUAUUUACAUUUAGCAUUCUACCAGUUUAAAAAAUCACUAGAAAUCAGUUCUUCCAAACUCAAUAGGUUUCACAUUUAAUCCCAGCAAAAACUUCAAAAAUGACAAAGAACAUAAAAAAUAAAUGCCAUUAAUUGACUCAAUGUAAUACAAUUCCUUAACUUCAGUCAUUCCAAAUAAAAGCACACCGUAACCUAACCUCAAAUCGAAGGUCGAAUCGCGCCGUAUAAUCGUAGACACUCGAAGCGCGUGGUGUAAACAAUAUGUUCCGCCUGCGAGAGAGGCACUGCACGAGCCUCAAGGUCCAAACGCGAUCGGUAGGAACGAAAAAAGGAGUUGUUAAUGGAAGUGGAGUUCCAUCGGGCGCGAGCGAGCUGGCCAAGUGUAUAAGGAAAUCCAGUCGGGGAAUUAUGCAGAUUGUAGGUUGGAAUCCAUCUGCUGAUGGCUCGGACGGGGCAUACUCGAACCUACGUGAGUUCAUCCACGGCACAGGACCAACUACCCAUCAGUUCUGCCUGUCGGUUUCGUUGCCUCCACUAGCAGGACGUUCCUCUUUCUUCUAUCUGUACUUUUGGCCUCUCCAUCCUUUCCUUCUACGAAACGGUACGAGGGAAGCAGGAGGUUGGUGGAAGAAGCUUGAUCAUUUCCGUGGAAUUACGGGGCUGUGAACGGUACAAAGUUACCUAGGGAGAAAGGGGGAAGAGUUAAAUUAAUGAAAUCGCGACGCGCAAGCCACGACGAGCAGCUAUUAGCCUGGAAUGUUCAAAUUGUUCCUGGCUUACGGUCGAGGUUUUAUGAUUGAACUUUGAACUUAUCUUUUGCGUUAGAAAAGACGAUAUCCUUGUAAAGUUCUGGCUGCGAGGAUUUGGUCGAGUUCUUUGGUGAUUACAUGGGUAACUAUGCAAAGAAUGUUCGAUAAAAUUCCCUAGGGAAUUGGAAUGGCACGGUUGGCUGUGUGAUUGGAGAAACAAGUUUUGGAAUCUGUAGUAGAAUUGUUUGCGUGUAGCACGGUCUGUAUCGUUAGAGAGGAAGUUCAAUGUCCUUAUAAAAAUUCCCUGUGGGGCUUACGGUUGGUUAUACUACUAGGGAAAAUGGUAAAAUGCUUUCUAAAUAAAUACUUGAAAAAGCUUUACGGAAA